rnacentral:rRNA from 1 species
CAAACUGAAGAUGGCGACCGGCGCACGGGUGAGUAACACGUAUCCAACCUGCCGAUAACUCCGGAAUAGCCUUUCGAAAGAAAGAUUAAUACCGGAUAGCAUACGAAUAUCGCAUGAUAUUUUUAUUAAAGAAUUUCGGUUAUCGAUGGGGAUGCGUUCCAUUAGUUUGUUGGCGGGGUAACGGCCCACCAAGACUACGAUGGAUAGGGGUUCUGAGAGGAAGGUCCCCCACAUUGGAACUGAGACACGGUCCAAACUCCUACGGGAGGCAGCCAUG